GCUCAACCGAAGAAGUGCAUUGGAAACUGGGAGACUUGAGUGCAGAAGAGGACAGUGGAACUCCAUGUGUAGCGGUGAAAUGCGUAGAUAUAUGGAAGAACACCAGUGGCGAAGGCGGCUGUCUGGUCUGCAACUGACGCUGAGGCUCGAAAGCAUGGGUAGCGAACAGGAUUAGAUACCCUGGUAGUCCAUGCCGUAAACGAUGAUUACUAAGUGUUGGAGGGUUUCCGCCCUUCAGUGCUGCAGCUAACGCAUUAAGUAAUCCGCCUGGGGAGUACGACCGCAAGGUUGAAACUCAAAAGAAUUGACGGGGGCCCGCACAAGCGGUGGAGCAUGUGGUUUAAUUCGAAGCUACGCGAAGAACCUUACCAGGUCUUGACAUCUUCUGACAGUCUAAGAGAUUAGAGGUUCCCUUCGGGGACAGAAUGACAGGUGGUGCAUGGUUGUCGUCAGCUCGUGUCGUGAGAUGUUGGGUUAAGUCCCGCAACGAGCGCAACCCUUAUUACUAGUUGCCAGCAUUAAGUUGGGCACUCUAGUGAGACUGCCGGUGACAAACCGGAGGAAGGUGGGGACGACGUCAAAUCAUCAUGCCCCUUAUGACCUGGGCUACACACGUGCUACAAUGGAUGGUACAACG
rnacentral:rRNA from 1 species